rnacentral:rRNA from 1 species
GAUGAACGCUAGCUACAGGCUUAACACAUGCAAGUCGAGGGGCAGCGGGAUUGAAGCUUGCUUCAAUUGCCGGCGACCGGCGCACGGGUGAGUAACGCGUAUCCAACCUUCCGUACACUCAGGGAUAGCCUUUCGAAAGAAGAUUAAUACCUGAUGGUAUGAUGAGAUUGCAUGAUAGCAUCAUUAAAGAUUUAUCGGUGUACGAUGGGGAUGCGUUCCAUUAGGUAGUAGGCGGGGUAACGGCCCACCUAGCCUACGAUGGAUAGGGGUUCUGAGAGGAAGGCCCCCCCACAUUGGAACUGAGACACGGGUCCAAACUCCUACGGGAGGCAGCAGUGAGGAAUAUUGGUCAAUGGACGAGAGUCUGAACCAGCCAAGUAGCGUGAAGGAUGAAGGUCUUACGGAUUGUAAACUUCUUUUAUAAGGGAAUAAACCCUCCACGUGUGGAGCUUGUAUGUACCUUANGAAUAAGC